rnacentral:lncRNA from 1 species
AAUAUCCUUUCAAUAAUCCUGCUUGAUGAAGCUAAAUGUAGAUAAAAAAAAAAUUGCAAAGCUAGUUAGAAACAUGCUCCAUAAAGGCAAUACUUUUCACAAAUUUGCUUUUCACUAGCUACAAGCUAAACCGUAACCAUCGUCCAUGAUGAGAAUGUGAGUACAUUUUUAUUUACGCAUAAUUUUAAUAUAAUUUUAAAAAAUAACAGGCAAAUGAAUGUGGCUGACAUCUGGGAAGUAUUAAUAUAGUUGAAUGCUAAGUUAGGUCUGAACAUCCUGACAGCUAGGACAAAAAUAUAUAGGAUUUGUUUUGAUCUUAUCCAAUGAGACCAAUUUUCCUAUAAACAAGACAAGUUUUAUCCUUAAAUUCAAGGGAGAACUGAUUGUGUAAGCUCCUAAAACAAUGUAAAAUAAAACAAAACGAAGUUAAAACAAUGGA